UGGCUUCGGUCGGCUCCGUGUUAAUCUGUGAUGACUCUGGAUAACUUCACUGAUCGCAGUCGGCCUUGUGUCGGCGACGGAUCUUUCAAUUAUCUGCCCUAUCAGCUGUCGAUGGUAGGUCACCUGCCUACCAUGGCGAUAACGGGUAACGGGGAAUCAGGGUUCGAUUCCGGAGAGGGAGCCUGAGAAACGGCUGCCACAUCUAAGGUAGGCAGCAGGCGCGUAAAUUACCCUAAUCCCAGCACGGGGAGGUAGUGACGAAAAAUACGGAUACGGGACUCUUUAGAGGCUCCGUAAUUCGAAUGAGUACACUUUAAAUCCUUUAACGAGGAUCAACUGGAGGGGAAGUCUGGUGCCAGCAGCCGCGGUAACUCCAGCUCCAGAAGCGUAUAUUAAACUUGUUGCAGUUAAAAUGCUCGUAGUUGGAUCUGGGUGGCAUGGCCACAUGCCGUUGCUUGUAUUCUUGGCUCGGUUAUGACUGGGUCGGGUUUGCGAGUCGGUGUCGUGAUUGAGCAGCCUUUCUGCUGUGUCUGAUUCGACAGGUGCUGACUGAAUCGGUGGGCUUGUCUUGCUGCUUUGUUGGCAUGCUUCCAGAUGCCUAUAACCGGGUGUCGGGGGCGGACGGCACGUUUACUUUGAACAAAUUUGAGUGCUUCAAGCAGGCCUGUGUGCCUGAAUAUUCUUGCAUGGAAUAAUG
rnacentral:rRNA from 1 species